AUGUUGAGUGUGGUUUUCGAUGGUGGAUGUGACAUCCGACGAUUGCCGAGGAAGAAAGGUUGCAUUGGCAAAUGGGGCCUCAACAAUCUCUUGUGCCAUUUGAACUUUAAUUUGAUUAUCGAUGAAGCAAGAUAUUCUAGAUUUAUCGAAUCCUAUUUUUUUCAUCAGAUCGAUAUGUAUGUCUGUACGAACUACGGCAUAAGCUUCUUUGAGCAGCUUUUGACGGUGUUUCCAUCUUUUAAUUUCUCAGCAAUUGCAAGUACCAACCUCAGAGUUGAAAAAGUUCUAGGUACAUCUAUUGAAUCGUUGAAGGCUUCCACGCGCCACCUCCUUCUCCCCCUCCUUCGCCGGGUCGAGAAGGGAGCAGCGACGAAGCAGAGGUAG
rnacentral:rRNA from 1 species